rnacentral:rRNA from 1 species
UACAGAGGGUGCGAGCGUUGUCCGGAAUCACUGGGCGUAAAGGGCGCGUAGGCGGCGACCCAAGUCCAUGGUGAAAGCUCGAUGCUCAACAUCGAGUCGGCCACGGAUACUGGGUUGCUGGAGCACUGUAGAGGCAGAUGGAAUUCCGGGUGUAGCGGUGAAAUGCGCAGAUAUCAGGAGGAACACCGGUGGCGAAGGCGGUUCUCUGGGCAUUACCUGACGCUGAGGAGCGAAAGUGUGGGGAGCGAACAGG